rnacentral:tRNA from 1 species
GUUGAUGUACCAAACGAAAAAAAUUUCCGUGUCUAGAUUAAAAUAAGAUAGCGAUUUCAAAAUUAAUUGACU